CCUACGGGGGACAGCAGUGAGGAAUAUUGGUCAAUGGGCGCGAGCCUGAACCAGCCAAGUAGCGUGAAGGAUGACUGCCCUACGGGUUGUAAACUUCUUUUAUAAAGGAAUAAAGUGAGGCACGUGUGCCUUUUUGUAUGUACUUUCUGAUUAAGGAUCGGCUAACUCCGUACCAGCAGCCGCGGUAAUACGGAGGAUCCGAGCGGUAUCCGGAUUUAUUGGGUUUAAAGGGAGCGUAGAUGGGUUGUUAAGUCAGUUGUGAAAGUUUGCGGCUAAACCGUAAAAUUGCAAUUGGUACUGGCAGCCUUGAAUACAGUUGAGAUAGACGGAAUUCGUG
rnacentral:rRNA from 1 species